rnacentral:rRNA from 1 species
AUGAUUUGACGAAAGAAAAUCUGUCUUAGCUUAUUAAAAAAAAAUUAACCUAGAAGUUAAAAGGCUUCUAUUUCCUAAAGGGACGACAAGACCCUAUAAAGCUUUAUUUAUAAUAUUUUUAUUUAUUUCAAUAAAAAAUACAAAUUUAUAAAUUCUAUUGGGGCGAUAGAUAAAUAAACAUUAUUAACUAUAACGUUUUUAACGAAAUUUAUAAAAUGUUUUUAAAACCUACAACAAGUUACUUUAGGGAUAACAGCAUAAUUUCUUUUUAGAGUCCUUAUCGACAAAGAAGAUUAUGACCUCGAUGUUGGAUUAAG